AUUGAACGCUGGCGGCAGGCCUAACACAUGCAAGUCGAGCGGAUGAAGGGAGCUUGCUCCUGGAUUCAGCGGCGGACGGGUGAGUAAUGCCUAGGAAUCUGCCUGGUAGUGGGGGAUAACGUCCGGAAACGGGCGCUAAUACCGCAUACGUCUUGAGGGAGAAAGUGGGGGAUCUUCGGACCUCACGCUAUCAGAUGAGCCCAGGUCGGAUUAGCUAGUUGGUGGGGUAAAGGCCUACCAAGGCGACGAUCCGUAACUGGUCUGAGAGGAUGAUCAGUCACACUGGAACUGAGACACGGUCCAGACUCCUACGGGAGGCAGCAGUGGGGAAUAUUGGACAAUGGGCGAAAGCCUGAUCCAGCCAUGCCGCGUGUGUGAAGAAGGUCUUCGGAUUGUAAAGCACUUUAAGUUGGGAGGAAGGGCAGUAAGUUAAUACCUUGCUGUUUUGACGUUACCAACAGAAUAAGCACCGGCUAACUUCGUG
rnacentral:rRNA from 1 species